CGUCCAGUACUGAAUCAGGUGAUGCUAACCACGCUGGUGGUCUUGGGUCCCUUCGGGGAGCUUUGACUUACUGGUCUGGGAACCGAGCUUGUAGUAGGUAAGUGAU
rnacentral:rRNA from 1 species